GGAAAAGAAAACAUUCCACCAGCAUCAAGCAGAAUCUGCUCUAUAUCAAUUUGAAAAGUUCAUAAACCAAACAUUAUUUUAAAAGUUCAAGAACUACACGCACAUCAUCAUAUAAUGGAAGUGCUUAGUUUCCAAAAUACGCUAUGUAAUUCCUCAGGCUGAUUCCAAUCACCACCACAUUCCAGAAUGCAGCAUUUUGGGACAUGAGAGUUACCAGAAAUGCUACAGAAGCAAAAGAAUUGGCUAACAUGCUGUAAG